CGGGGCGCGGCAGGAGGACGCACAGCGGGGUGCAGAGGCGACGAGGGGCGCGGCCGGAGCCUGGACUCGGUCUCGGGGCGGAGGACCCGUUGCAAUGUGCACUGUGUCUGAAGACAGCGGACCGCAGGGACCUUGGAGAUCACUCAGCGCAAACGUGAAACCACUCGCUUCACAGUAUACAAGGUGGGUGAGUCUCAGUGCAUAGCCUCCUGAGAGCCUUCUGACCACCAGUCUUUCCAGACAUCCCACAACUUUUCCAGCAGCCCUGGUGGCUGGCGUCCCCGUGUAGGAUAGACACUCAUGUUUCCCUUUGACCACUGCUUCUGGAGGAAGAUGGGUAUGUCCAAAACAUUGGCCUCCCUGCAACCUACAGGAGUUUUCUUUUGUCUGAAGAUGCAGGCUGAGCAUCUCUGAUCUGAAAAAUUACAAGUUCAGCGUACUGUCAAACCUGAAAUCUUGAAACACUGGCAUGGUAGGAACAAGUGCAAAAUUCCAUACCACAAGAGCAGUUCAUGCACAAGGUUAUUAAUGAUGCUCUCCAAGAUUGCUGGGAGGCAACAUGUCUGCUGUGCACAUAAAAAGAGAAAGGGAAAUAUUCUAAAUUCAGAAGUUCCCCAAUUGGAAACCUUUCUUAACUCAGAACUUUAGAGCUAUUCUGCUUGCAGUGGCCGACACUCUUAGGUGACCCACGCAGGAGUGGCUGCAAAGGUUCAGUGUGAGCCUUUCACCCAACUUCACAAGGCUCUACUUCCCUUUCACAGACACAGGGUCGGGGGUGUGGAGCAAACAUCCCACAACAGGUGAGCAUGGACACUGGGGAUCUUUCUAGACCUCUACAUACACCCAAUCCAUCAGUUUCCCAGACACCAUGACACUUUGUAUAAAGUGGUGACAACAUGGUGAUCUCUUUGCAUUUGUCAGGGCAUAUGUAUGUCAAGAUGAACAAAGCACAAUUUUUUUUUCUGAAAAUUUAAAUACCUACUUAGUGUUUCUGAUAAACCAGUGUGUGAAGGAGCACACAGUUCGUCAAGCAAACAACAAGAUAUAGCACCUUGUCACAAGAGAUUUAUUGUCAUUUAUAGUAAAUUACAGUGUCAGAAGAGUAUAAAACAGAAAGCCUAAGCUCGGGAACAAUUGUUGUCAUAGUAGAUUGUGUGUUUUUUUUUUUGAUUAUAUACCAAAAUCACGUUUUUGGAUGUUUUAGUUUACUUGGAAGAAAUUACCAGUUAAUAAUGUACACGUCCCUUUCUUCAAACCCAUAGAAGUUCUUACCUUAUUAUUUAUACAGUAGAGACCUAAGCUUAAAAAUCAAAUUAAAACCUUCAUGUUAAUGAGGGCACAGUGCUCAUUGAGAGUUUAAAAUAAUAGCAAGCUGAUGAUUUACUCAGCUGACAAAGCAUUUUCUGAUUUCUCAGAA
rnacentral:sRNA from 1 species